CCCCCGCGCCCAGCGCCGGCCCGCUGUUUCCUGCUGUGACGCAGGAGAGUGCUCCUGGAUCCAGGUUCCAAAACCUCCAUCCAACCUCACGAGUCUGAGGAUUUGGCCCCGGUUGUGCACGGAGUCCACAAGCCAGAGAACGUGCAGCCUCCUCCCGGCCGCACCUCGUCCCGUCUCCACCCCUGAGCUGCGCUCCUCACUGCCUGGCGUCACUGUGUUAUCAAGUGACCAAGUGACACUAGACGCCCAACUAGACCAGCUCUGCGACCCUGGUGGCUUAGAAACAUAGGGUCUGUUUCUGCCCUGGGUCAAGUUCGGACAAAGGUCCCCAGCAAUCUCCUUGAGAACGGCAAGUCAUGGUAGAGGGGACAGAAUGUUCUAGAUCCUAAGAAGACCAGGAUUUGGAUCCUGUGGCUGCAGGGUGGAGCCCUGCCGGGCCUCAGUUUCUCCCCACCGAGAGCCCUGGGGGUCCUCUGGUGGCCGCUGGGGUCCA